rnacentral:rRNA from 1 species
GAGUUUGAUCGUGGCUCAGAGCGAACGCUGGCGGCAGGCUUAACACAUGCAAGUCGAGCGGGCGUAGCAAUACGUCAGCGGCAGACGGGUGAGUAACACGUGGGAACGUACCUUUUGGUUCGGAACAACUGAGGGAAACUUCAGCUAAUACCGGAUAAGCCCUAACGGGAAGAUUAUCGCCGAAGAUCGGCCCGCGUCUGAUUAGCUAGUUGGUGAGGUAAUGGCUCACCAAGGCGACGAUCAGUAGCUGGUCUGAGAGGAUGAUCAGCCACACUGGGACUGAGACACGGCCCAGACUCCUACGGGAGGCAGCAGUGGGGAAUAUUGGACAAUGGGGCGAACCCUGAUCCAGCCAUGCCGCGUGAGUGAUGAAGGCCCUAGGGUUGUAAAGCUCUUU